CACCUGACCCUCUCGUGGCCCUCUGGCUGCCUCUCCAUCCGCCCCAUUGACCGAACCCAGCUUGGCAGGGGCUCUACAACAGCCUACGGUCCUGGCGUUUCUCUCACGUCACUGACGUGGCACAGUCCCAGACCGAAGCCUUCCUCGGCCCGCCUCCCCCAGUCGGGGCCAGACGCAGGAUGGGAGCUCCACUGAGGCCCGAGGCCAGAUAAUAGAGACAGUUGGAAGCCCAUUUUGAAGUUUUCAAGCACAGUUGAAGCAGAAUUAAAGACUACAGAAAGCAGCGAAGAAGUUCCUUGCUUCCAAACACUUCUGAGGAAAGUGUUCGCAGCGCCAGGCAAAGCCACCUGCCGAUCCGCCCGGAGUCCUUCCAAGCUCACACGUGUUUCCUUGGAAAGUGGUUGGGAAAGCGAAGAGAUAGAAAUCAGAAGAUUGCUCCAACUGAUGGAAAGCAGUAAGGACCCGGGACCACUUGACAAAAGGUUUUGCCCCUUUCAUCCUCAAAGUUUUAACCAAGUCAGGAACGGUGGCAUGUUUCCCGGUGAAAAAGAGGCACUCCAUGUUGAGAUGAGGGAACCGACCCAAAGGAAAGCGACUUACCCGAGUCGCAUAGCAGACCAGUGGCGAUGGGCAAGUAGCCGGGACUACUUGAUAGAGGAUGUCCUACAGCUCUGCUCCUUAAAGUGUCCUUAAAGCGCCGGACUGAGUCUGGGAUUGAUGAACAACAACCUGGUGUCUCGUCAUGCCCUGGGGCCCCUCGACUGGGAAGGGACGCAGCCUGGCUCCCACAGAUCUAUGCCGAGAAAGCCAAGUCCUCACACACCCAAGAAUCCAAUUACGGAAGUCUCUUUUUUCCGCAAUCCUCCUCCUCCACGCUCAGGGCAUUUGGACAAGAGCUAAUUCCUGCAGACUGCCAAAGGAGCACAUGGUUUCACCCCCGAUCGUGGGGAAUGAGGUGUUCUCUGCACACCGCAUUGUCCUUGAAAUGGGCCAGGAGUUGGCUCGAGCACGUAGUGGGUAUAGAUUUGCAGGACCAUUCGUCUCCAUCGGAAACAGAAAAGAAACCAGUUAAGGGAGCGUUGGCCACGAAGACCCAGAGACGGUCAAAGCCAGAGGAAAACUGAUGCUUGUUUUUGUAAUUCUCUAAUUCCCAACUCCUCUCUCGCCCCCUUCCUCUCCAGCUCAUCAGUGAAAGAAAUUAAAUUAACAGAAGUGUAUUA